GUCUCUGUGGUGCAAUUGGUGAGCCCGUUCGGCUGUUAACUGAAAGGUUGGUGGUUCAAGCCCACCCAGGGACG
rfam:Danio rerio chromosome 4, GRCz11 reference primary assembly.